CGACAGGAAAACUCUCCUAAACAUCCAGAACGGGGAAAUUUCAUGGACCAUUCCUGAUGUUGUUCACUUGAGUGAAGAUGCAAAGGACUUCAUGAAAGGGAUCCUGCAGCAGCACCCCAAAUCCAGGCCAAGUGCUUUGGACUGUCUUUCCCACAAAUGGUUCAUGCACAACGUCCCUCUUGAAGCAGCUCAUUUUAUUAACACCAAACAGCUCAAAUUCAUUGUGGCUCGGAGCAAGUGGCAGG
rnacentral:lncRNA from 1 species